rnacentral:lncRNA from 1 species
AAAGGAUUUGCUUUUGCUACUCUCUAUUUCCAUAAUUUUUACAGAUUUUGAUUUCAUCAAGCUUACUUACCAAAAUAUUGAUUUCCAUUGUUGUAGCAAGCAAGCUGAAGGGAUUUGACAGGAGAUUUGUCAAAAGAAGGUGAUGAAAGCGCCAAUUUUUUCAAGAAGUGUUUCAAAUCACAACAUCUUAGUUCAACUUGGUCACGAUAAAAAGGGGUAAGUUUUUUUUGAAUUUCUGUUGAAAAUAUUAGAUAGUUAGUGAGAUUUAGAUAGUUAAAUUUCAGACUUUUUUUAAAGAUUUGUAUCAAUUUUAAUUUAUUAUUUUGCUAAAGAAAAAAGAUAUUUAUUUGGAAAUAAUCCAAACAGUUUUUGAAUUUUUUCAUUUUAUCCAUACUUAAAAGAAUUUUGUCAUUAUAUCCAUACCUAAAGAAACAUUUAUNNNNNNNNNNNNNNNNNNNNNNNNNNNNCAUGAGAUUAAAUAUGUAUUUACUAUUAUAAACAUAAAGCAUAUGCAAUUUCAGGAAACACAUGAUUUGAAUGUUUUAGAAACAUUUGAUUAAUUGCUUUUGUGAACUUCUCAGUACUUUAGUAAUACUUAUUUAUUCUUAAUCAAGCUUUGAAGAGUUAAGUUUUGCUUAGUCAUUGUUUUAAUGGUCUCUAAAACUUUACUAGAUAGAUAAUGAUAAUUUAGUCCAUUCGAACAUCAAUGAACCCACUAAAUAUGUUCAUUGCUCUUCUACAAUUUGAUUUUUCAUGGCAAAGUUCAAUUUUGUCAGUUGGUUUCAAAUAUUUGGGAAAAAUAUAUUGCUUUCCCAUGUAAUAGUAAUUUCUCAAGGGAAAAAGUUUAAAAUUAUAAAUGUUACUAUUUUGUUUAUGAAAAUAGAUCAAAAACUAUAAAUGUUAAGAGUACAAUUUUCAUAGUACAAUUUUGAUUUUCGGAUCUCUCAUUUGAGAGUAGAAACAUAAGUUAAAGGUCAUUGCUAGAUAAAUAAAUUGUUUUCCUAUGUAAUAGUAAUUUCUCAAGGGAAAAAGUCUAAAACUAUAAAUGUUACUAUUUUGUUUAUGAAAAUAGAUCAAAAACUAUAAAUGUUGAGUAUUAUAUUGCUACAACGGGGAUAUGUCUUCUCACUCAUAUUAUGAGCAUAUUGGUGUUUCCUUUUCAUAUAUGAAAUCAUAUUUGCAAAUUUCAUGAUAUGUAUUAAGUAGGAUUAGUCUUGCUUCAAGAACUAUUGAAUUUGUUAUCCAUAUUUGUGCUUUUAACUUGGAUAUUGAAGUUCUUUCGUAGAUGAUUCUUAGAUCUUGAUCGACUGAUUUUAGCCAUGAACUGAAUGAAUGGUUUCAUCACCCNNNNNNNNNNNNUUAAGGACAUCAAUUUGCUUUGGUUGAAUCUUAUGAUGUUUUGGUCCGGUUGCCUCAGGACUGGAGUUAUUGCUUCUGAAGCCUGAGCAUAAUGCAUAAUGGUUUGCUCCGGUUGGCGUGAGAUCUCAAGGCGCAAUAUUUGCUACACAUUAAUUGCAAUUAUAAUUAUAAUGUAUAUAAGAAACUAAGUAUACUAAUUCUUUUGGUGAAUAGUUUUACUUUAUAUUUUUGUUGAUUUUUCUACUUUGCUUUAUAGUUUUACUUUGUUUGCACAAUAUGUUUAGGAUCAUUUCUCAAUCAGGAUCUCAAAAACACGGGGGGCUUAACAACAAACACUAUAACUAUUCUAUCCUUGAAAUAAUGCAUAUCUUUUUGAAUUGUGUAAUAUUAAGGCAAAUUUUACAGAUGCUGAAAUCUUAAUUGCCCGACAAGUUCUAUAUUGAAUGAUUUAUUUAUUUACGGUAACAUUUUGACAAUACGUAUAUCAAUUGUACGAAAUUACUAAAAGACGG